CGAUACAGGGUGACAGCCCCGUACACAAAAGCGCAUGUGCUGUGAGCUCGAUGAGUAGGGCGGGACACGUGGUAUCCUGUCUGAAUAUGGGGGGACCAUCCUCCAAGGCUAAAUACUCCUGACUGACCGAUAGUGAACCAGUACCGUGAGGGAAAGGCGAAAAGAACCCCGGCGAGGGGAGUGAAAAAGAACCUGAAACCGUGUACGUACAAGCAGUGGGAGCACAGGUUUACCUGUGUGACUGCGUACCUUUUGUAUAAUGGGUCAGCGACUUAUAUUCUGUAGCAAGGUUAACCGAAUAGGGGAGCCGGAGGGAAACCGAGUCUUAAUUGGGCGUUAAGUUGCAGGGUAUAGACCCGAAACCCGGUGAUCUAGCCAUGGGCAGGUUGAAGGUUGGGUAACACUAACUGGAGGACCGAACCGACUAAUGUUGAAAAAUUAGCGGAUGACCUGUGGCUGGGGGUGAAAGGCCAAUCAAACCGGGAGAUAGCUGGUUCUCCCCGAAAGCUAUUUAGGUAGCGCCUCGUGAAUUCAUCUCCGGGGGUAGAGCACUGUUUCGGCUAGGGGGCCAUCCCGGCUUACCAACCCGAUGCAAACUGCGAAUACCGGAGAAUGUUAUCACGGGAGACACACGGCGGGUGCUAACGUCCGUCGUGAAGAGGGAAACAACCCAGACCGCCAGCUAAGGUCCCAAAGUCAUGGUUAAGUGGGAAACGAUGUGGGAAGGCCCAGACAGCCAGGAUGUUGGCUUAGAAGCAGCCAUCAUUUAAAGAAAGCGUAAUAGCUCACUGGUCGAGUCGGCCUGCGCGGAAGAUGUAACGGGGCUAAACCAUGCACCGAAGCUGCGGCAGCGAACGUAUCACCCAAGACAACUUUACGGAGUUGACGAUUGACGGAGCGAAGCGACGUCAAAGCGUUCAUUAAAGUCGAGUUGGCUUAGGGAUACGUUCGUUGGGUAGGGGAGCGUUCUGUAAGCCUGUGAAGGUGUGUCGUGAGGC
rnacentral:rRNA from 1 species